rnacentral:rRNA from 2 species
ACUUAAAUUGAAGAGUUUGAUCAUGGCUCAGAUUGAACGCUGGCGGCAGGCCUAACACAUGCAAGUCGAGCGGUAGCACAGAGAGCUUGCUCUCGGGUGACGAGCGGCGGACGGGUGAGUAAUGUCUGGGAAACUGCCUGAUGGAGGGGGAUAACUACUGGAAACGGUAGCUAAUACCGCAUAAUGUCGCAAGACCAAAGUGGGGGACCUUCGGGCCUCAUGCCAUCAGAUGUGCCCAGAUGGGAUUAGCUAGUAGGUGGGGUAACGGCUCACCUAGGCGACGAUCCCUAGCUGGUCUGAGAGGAUGACCAGCCACACUGGAACUGAGACACGGUCCAGACUCCUACGGGAGGCAGCAGUGGGGAAUAUUGCACAAUGGGCGCAAGCCUGAUGCAGCCAUGCCGCGUGUGUGAAGAAGGCCUUCGGGUUGUAAAGCACUUUCAGCGGGGAGGAAGGCGGUGAGGUUAAUAACCUCAUCGAUUGACGUUACCCGCAGAAGAAGCACCGGCUAACUCCGUGCCAGCAGCCGCGGUAAUACGGAGGGUGCAAGCGUUAAUCGGAAUUACUGGGCGUAAAGCGCACGCAGGCGGUCUGUCAAGUCGGAUGUGAAAUCCCCGGGCUCAACCUGGGAACUGCAUUCGAAACUGGCAGGCUAGAGUCUUGUAGAGGGGGGUAGAAUUCCAGGUGUAGCGGUGAAAUGCGUAGAGAUCUGGAGGAAUACCGGUGGCGAAGGCGGCCCCCUGGACAAAGACUGACGCUCAGGUGCGAAAGCGUGGGGAGCAAACAGGAUUAGAUACCCUGGUAGUCCACGCCGUAAACGAUGUCGAUUUGGAGGUUGUGCCCUUGAGGCGUGGCUUCCGGAGCUAACGCGUUAAAUCGACCGCCUGGGGAGUACGGCCGCAAGGUUAAAACUCAAAUGAAUUGACGGGGGCCCGCACAAGCGGUGGAGCAUGUGGUUUAAUUCGAUGCAACGCGAAGAACCUUACCUGGUCUUGACAUCCACAGAACUUUCCAGAGAUGGAUUGGUGCCUUCGGGAACUGUGAGACAGGUGCUGCAUGGCUGUCGUCAGCUCGUGUUGUGAAAUGUUGGGUUAAGUCCCGCAACGAGCGCAACCCUUAUCCUUUGUUGCCAGCGGU